CGCAUCUGUGCAUGCAGCAUAUCAAUAAGCGGAGGAAAAGAAACUAACAAGGAUUCCCUUAGUAACGGCGAGUGAAGCGGGAAGAGCUCAAAUUUGAAAUCUUCAAGGUUUUACCUUGACGAAUUGUAGUUUAAAGAAGUGUUUUCUGUUGAAGUUUUGGUAAAAGUUCUUUGGAAUAGGACAUCAUAGAGGGUGAGAAUCCCGUAUUUGACCAUUAUUUUCAGCUGUGUGAUACACUCUCAAAGAGUCGGAUUGUUUGGGAAUGCAGUCCAAAAUGGGUGGUAAAUUUCAUCUAAAGCUAAAUAUUGGCGAGAGACCGAUAGCGAACAAGUACCGUGAGGGAAAGAUGAAAAGAACUUUGAAAAGAGAGUUAAACAGUACGUGAAAUUGUCAAAAGGGAAGCGUUUGACACCAGUGUUGUUUUCUCGAAAAUCAAUUAAAAAGAGUUAGAUUUUGUGUCGUAUUGACCUUAACAGCUUGCAUUCACUCUUUCCUAGCUUUUUUUAAUGCACUUUUCGUUUAACAAGUCAACAUCAGUUUCUUUUGUUGUAAAAAGGGUCAUUGGAAGGUGGCUUUCUCUUCGGAGAAAGUGUUUAUAGCCUUUGAUCUCUGCAAUCGGAGAGACUGAGGUCUGCAGCGUAGAUCCUUCGGGGUUAGAUACAUUUGUGCUAAGUUAUAGCUUUUUAUAGACAACUUGUUGACUAUGAUUAGUCUUGUAGCUUACUCGCUUAUGCUAUUUUACCUACGCUUAGGAUGUUGACGCGCGUGUGUGCGUG
rnacentral:rRNA from 1 species